GACGAACGCUGGCGGCGUGCUUAACACAUGCAAGUCGAACGGAAAGGCCCUGCUUUUGUGGGGUGCUCGAGUGGCGAACGGGUGAGUAACACGUGAGUAACCUGCCCUUGACUUUGGGAUAACUUCAGGAAACUGGGGCUAAUACCGGAUAGGAGCUCCUGCUGCAUGGUGGGGGUUGGAAAGUUUCGGCGGUUGGGGAUGGACUCGCGGCUUAUCAGCUUGUUGGUGGGGUAGUGGCUUACCAAGGCUUUGACGGGUAGCCGGCCUGAGAGGGUGACCGGACACAUUGGGACUGAGAUACGGCCCAGACUCCUACGGGAGGCAGCAGUGGGGAAUAUUGCACAAUGGGCGGAAGCCUGAUGCAGCAACGCCGCGUGCGGGAUGACGGCCUUCAGGUUGUAAACCGCUUUCGCCUGUGACGAAGCGUGAGUGACGGUAAUGGGUAAAGAAGCACCGGCUAACUACGUG
rnacentral:rRNA from 1 species